GAUGAAGAACGUAGCGAAAUGCGAUACGUAAUGUGAAUUGCAGAAUUCAGUGAAUCAUCGAAUCUUUGAACGCAUAUUGCGCUCUUUGGUAUUCCGAAGAGCAUGCUUGUUUGAGUAUCAGUAAACACCUCAACCUCUUCUUGAUUUUUCAAAAGGAGGGUGGACUUGAGCUAUCCCAACAACCUUUACCGGUCGGCGGGCGGCUUGAAAUGCAGGUGCAGCUGGACUUUUAUCUGAGCUAAAAGCAUAUCUAUUUAGUCCUCGUCAAACAGGAUUAUUACUUUUGCUGCAGCUAACAUAAAGGAUAAUUGUCCUCUUUGCUGACUGAUGCAGGAUUUUACGACACUUUAUGUGUUGUUCAACUCGAUCUCAAAUCAAGUAAGACUACCCGCUGAACUUAAGCAUAUCAAUAAGCAGAGGA
rnacentral:misc_RNA from 1 species